rnacentral:rRNA from 1 species
AUUGAACGCUGGCGGCAGGCCUAACACAUGCAAGUCGAGCGGAGCGGCGGACGGGUGAGUAAUGCCUAGGUAUCUGCCUGGUAGUGGGGGAUAACGACCGGUAACGGGCGCUAAUACCGCAUACUAUCAGAUGAGCCUAGGCCGGAUUGGCGAGUUGGGGGGGGAAAGGCCUACCAAGGCGACGAUCCGUAACUGGUCUGAGCGGAUGAUCAGUCACCCUGGAACUGAGACACGUUCCAGACUCCGACGGGAGGAAGCAGUGGGGAAUAUUGGACAAUGGGCGAAAGCCUGAUCCAGCCAUGCCGCGUGUGUGAAGAAGGUCUUCGGAUUGUAAAGCACUUUAAGUUGGGAGGCGUUACCAACAGAAUAAGCACCGGCUAACUUCGUGCCAGCAGCCGCGGUAAUUC